CGGUCUUGCUGUCACUUAUAGAUGGAUCCGCGCUGCAUUAGCUAGUUGGUAAGGUAACGGCUUACCAAGGCAACGAUGCAUAGCCGACCUGAGAGGGUGAUCGGCCACACUGGAACUGAGACACGGUCCAGACUCCUACGGGAGGCAGCAGUAGGGAAUCUUCCGCAAUGGGCGAAAGCCUGACGGAGCAACGCCGCGUGAGUGAUGAAGGUCUUCGGAUCGUAAAACUCUGUUAUUAGGGAAGAACAUAUGUGUAAGUAACUGUGCACAUCUUGACGGUACCUAAUCAGAAAGCCACGGCUAACUACGUGCCAGCAGCCGCGGUAAUACGUAGGUGGCAAGCGUUAUCCGGAAUUAUUGGGCGUAAAGCGCGCGUAGGCGGUUUUUUAAGUCUGAUGUGAAAGCCCACGGCUCAACCGUGGAGGGUCAUUGGAAACUGGAAAACUUGAGUGCAGAAGAGGAAAGUGGAAUUCCAUGUGUAGCGGUGAAAUGCGCAGAGAUAUGGAGGAACACCAGUGGCGAAGGCGACUUUCUGGUCUGUAACUGACGCUGAUGUGCGAAAGCGUGGGGAUCAAACAGGAUUAGAUACCCUGGUAGUCCACGCCGUAAACGAUGAGUGCUAAGUGUUAGGGGGUUUCCGCCCCUUAGUGCUGCAGCUAACGCAUUAAGCACUCCGCCUGGGGAGUACGACCGCAAGGUUGAAACUCAAAGGAAUUGACGGGGACCCGCACAAGCGGUGGAGCAUGUGGUUUAAUUCGAAGCAACGCGAAGAACCUUACCAAAUCUUGACAUCCUUUGACAACUCUAGAGAUAGAGCAUUCCCCUUCGGGGGACAAAGUGACAGGUGGUGCAUGGUUGUCGUCAGCUCGUGUCGUGAGAUGUUGGGUUAAGUCCCGCAACGAGCGCAACCCUUAAGCUUAGUUGCCAUCAUUAAGUUGGGCACUCUAAGUUGACUGCCGGUGACAAACCGGAGGAAGGUGGGGAUGACGUCAAAUCAUCAUGCCCCUUAUGAUUUGGGCUACACACGUGCUACAAUGGACAAUACAAAGGGCAGCGAAACUGCGAGGUCAAGCAAAUCCCAUAAAGUUGUUCUCAGUUCGGAUUGUAGUCUGCAACUCGACUACAUGAAGCUGGAAUCGCUAGUAAUCGUAAAUCAGCAUGCUACGGUGAAUACGUUCCCGGGUCUUGUACACACCGCCCGUCACACCACGAGAGUUUGUAACACCCGAAGCCGGUGGAGUAACCUUUUAGGAGCUAGCCGUCGAAGGUGGGACAAAUGAUUGGGGUGAAGUCGUAACAAGGUAGCCGU
rnacentral:rRNA from 1 species